rnacentral:rRNA from 1 species
UUGACCUCGGAUCAGGUAGGGAUACCCGCUGAACUUAAGCAUAUCAAUAAGCGGAGGAAAAGAAACCAACCGGGAUUGCCUCAGUAACGGCGAGUGAAGCGGCAAGAGCUCAAAUUUGAAAGCUGGCUCCUUCGGAGUCCGCAUUGUAAUUUGCAGAGGAUGCUUUGGGUGCGGCCCCCGUCUAAGUGCCCUGGAACGGGCCGUCAGAGAGGGUGAGAAUCCCGUCUUGGGCGGGGUGUCCGUGCCCGUGUAAAGCUCCUUCGACGAGUCGAGUUGUUUGGGAAUGCAGCUCUAAAUGGGUGGUAAAUUUCAUCUAAAGCUAAAUACUGGCCGGAGACCGAUAGCGCACAAGUAGAGUGAUCGAAAGAUGAAAAGCACUUUGAAAAGAGAGUUAAACAGCACGUGAAAUUGUUGAAAGGGAAGCGCUUGCGACCAGACUCGCCCGCGGGGUUCAGCCGGCAUUCGUGCCGGUGUACUUCCCCGUGGGCGGGCCAGCGUCGGUUUGGGCGGCCGGUCAAAGGCCCCUGGAAUGUAGUACCCUCCGGGGUACCUUAUAGCCAGGGGUGCAAUGCGGCCAGCCUGGACCGAGGAACGCGCUUCGGCACGGACGCUGGCAUAAUGGUCGUAA